GAUGAACGCUGGCGGCGUGCCUAAUACAUGCAAGUCGAGCGAAUGGAUUAAGAGCUUGCUCUUAUGAAGUUAGCGGCGGACGGGUGAGUAACACGUGGGUAACCUGCCCAUAAGACUGGGAUAACUCCGGGAAACCGGGGCUAAUACCGGAUAACAUUUUGAACCGCAUGGUUCGAAAUUGAAAGGCGGCUUCGGCUGUCACUUAUGGAUGGACCCGCGUCGCAUUAGCUAGUUGGUGAGGUAACGGCUCACCAAGGCAACGAUGCGUAGCCGGCCUGAGAGGGUGUCCGGCCGCACUGGGACUGAGACACGGCCCAGACUCCGACGGGAGGCAGCAGUAGGGAAUCUUCCGCAAUGGACGAAAGUCUGACGGAGCAACGCCGCGUGAGUGAUGAAGGCUUUCGGGUCGUAAAACUCUGUUGUUAGGGAAGAACAAGUGCUAGUUGAAUAAGCUGGCGCCUUGACGGUACCUAACCAGAAAGCCACGGCUAACUACGUGCCAGCCGCCGCCGUAA
rnacentral:rRNA from 1 species